CACGUAUUUAGCCGGAGCUUCUUAGUCAGGUACCGUCACUUUCUUCCCUGCUGAUAGGGCUUUACAUACCGAAAUACUUCUUCACCCACGCGGCGUUGCUGCAUCAGGGUUUCCCCCAUUGUGCAAUAUUCCCCACUGCUGCCUCCCGUAGGAGUCUGGGCCGUGUCUCAGUCCCAAUGUGGCCGUCCACUCUCUCAAGCCGGCUACUGAUCGCUGCCUUGGUGGGCCGUUACCCCGCAACUAGCUAAUCAGACGCGGGCCCAUCCUGUACCACCGGAGUUUUCCCCGCAGCGCCAUGCGGCACCGCGGGCUUAUGCGGUAUUAGCAGCCGUUUCCAGCUGUUGUCCCCCUGUACAGGGCAGGUUACCCACGCGUUACUCACCCGUCCGCCACUAGGCUGUAUGCUGCUUCCGCCCGAAAGCUUCCGCUGCAUACGCCCCGUUCGACUUGCAUGUGUUAGGCACGCCGCCAGCGUUCAUCCUGAGCCAGGAUCAAACUCUCG
rnacentral:rRNA from 1 species